CUUGGUUAAUCUUGCCAGUAGUCAUAUACUUAUCUCAAAGACUAAGCGAUGCAUGUGUAAGUAUGAACUAAUUUAGACUGUGAAAUUGUGAAUGGCUCAUUAAAUCAGUUAUAGUUUGUUUGAUGGUAUCUACUACUCAAAUAACCAUAGUAAAUCUCCAGCUAAAGCAUACAACAAACCUUUGCUUCUGGAAAGGAUGUAUUUAUUAGAUAAAAGGUUGACGCGGGCUUUGCCCUUUGCUCUAAUGAUUCAUUAUAACUCAAGGGAUCGCAUAACCUUUGUGCUAGUGAUGUAUCAUUCAAAUGUUUGCCAUAUCAACUUUUGAUGGUAGGAUAAUGGCCUACUAUGGUGAUGACCAGUGACGAAGAAUUAGGGUUUGAUUCUGGAGAGAGAACCUAAGAAAAGGCUAACACAUCCAAAGAAGGCUAUAGGUAAAAAAUUACCCAAUCUUGACACAGGGAGGUUAUGAUAAUAAAUAACAAUACCGAGCUCUAUGAGUUUAGUAAUUGAAAUGAAUACAAUCUAAAUCCCUUAAUAAGGAUCCAUUGGAGGGCCAUCCAUUGAAGGACAAGUCUGGUGCCAGCAGCUACGAUAAUUCUAGCUCUAAUAGCAUAUAUUUAAGUUGUUACAGUUAAAAAACUCAUAGUUGGAACUAGGAUUAGGUCGUCUAGUCCAUCUCAUGAUGAGCACUAGUUUACUUGUCCUUAUAACCAAUGAUACCAAUGAUAUGCUCUUGACCUUAACUAGCCAAGUCAUUCCUCUGGUGAUGUUACUUUGGAAAAAAUUAGAGUGCUCAAAGUAGGCCUAUGUUUGUAUACAUUAGCAUAAGAUAACAUCAAAGGAUAUUAGUGCUAUUGUGUUGGCCUUUGGGAUCAGAGUAAUGAUUAAUAGGGAUAGUUAAGGGCAUUCGUAUUUUAUAGUCAGAGGUGAAAUUCUUGGAUUUUUGAAAGAUGAACAAUUGCAAAAGCAUUUGCCAAAGUGUUUUCAUUAAUCAAGAAUAAAAUUUGGGGGUUCAAAGUUGGUCAAAUACCAUCCUAGUCUCAACUAUAAAUGAUGCCAACCAGGGAUCAACGAAUGUUACUUUUAGGACUUUGUCAGCACCUUAUGAAAAAUCAAAGUCUUUGGAUUCUAGGAGGAGUAUGUUUGCAAGGCUAAAACUUAAAAGAAUUAAUGGAAAGGCACCACCAAUAGUGGAGCUUAUAGUUUAAUUUGACUCAACACAAGGAAACUUAUCAGGUCCAGACAUAGUAUGGAUUGACAUCUGAGAGCUCUUUCUUGAUUCUAUAAGUGGUGGUGCAUGGCCAUUCUUAGUUGGUAGAGCGAUUUGUCUACUUAAUUCUAUUAACGAAUGAGACCUUAACCUAUUAACUAGUUACAUGGAGAUGAUCCUUUAUGGCUAGCUUCUUAAAGGGACUAUGGCUACUUGACUAAAGAAGUUUAAGGUAAUAAUCGGUCUAUGAUGCCUUCAGAUGUUUUGGGCUACAUGUGCGCUACAUUGAUGUAUUCAACGAGUCUAUAGCCUUGGCCAAUAGGCUUGGGUAAUCUUUGAAAUUUCAUCGUGAUGGGCAUAGAUCAUUGUACUUAUUGGUCUUCAACAAGGAAUUCUUAAUAAGUGUGAGUCAUUAGCUCUUGUUGACUACGUCCCUACCCUUUGUACACACUAACAAUCACUCAUACCAAUUGAAUGGUCUAGUAUGGACGGUUCAGUACCUGUGACGUUACGAGAAGUCCACUAAACCUUAUCAUUUAGAGGAAAGAGAAGUCGUAACAAGGUUUCCAUAGGUGAACUUAUGGAAG
rnacentral:rRNA from 1 species